ACAACAUUCGGACCGUCGGUCUACCGAGCAAUAUCACCCGCUCGGUGGAAGAUCUUCCCUCCGUCGU
rfam:Bombyx mori DNA, contig: Bm_scaf43_contig24255, strain: p50T/Dazao, build 2, whole genome shotgun sequence.